GACGAACGCUGGCGGCGUGCUUAACACAUGCAAGUCGAACGGAAAGGCCCUGCUUGCAGGGUACUCGAGUGGCGAACGGGUGAGUAACACGUGGGUGAUCUGCCCUGCACUUCGGGAUAAGCCUGGGAAACUGGGUCUAAUACCGAAUAGGAGCCAUUUUUAGUGUGAUGGUUGGAAAGUUUUUUCGGUGUAGGAUGAGCUCGCGGCCUAUCAGCUUGUUGGUGGGGUAAUGGCCUACCAAGGCGGCGACGGGUAGCCGGCCUGAGAGGGUGGACGGCCACAUUGGGACUGAGAUACGGCCCAGACUCCUACGGGAGGCAGCAGUGGGGAAUAUUGCACAAUGGGCGCAAGCCUGAUGCAGCGACGCCGCGUGGGGGAUGACGGCCUUCGGGUUGUAAACUCCUUUCGCUAGGGACGAAGCUUUUUGUGACGGUACCUAGAUAAGAAGCACCGGCUAACUACGUG
rnacentral:rRNA from 1 species